GUGAAUCAUCAAAUUUUUGAACGCAAAUUGCACUCUCUGGUAUUCCGGAGAGUAUGCCUGUUUGAGGGUCAGUUUAAAUAAAAAUCGGUGUGGUUGCUGCCUUUCGUGGUGACGCAUCGGAUUUGGGUCGUCUUGACUUCGGUUAAGUGACCUAUAUUGUCGCAUGAUUUUUUCGAACGUAUUUAAUUGAUUUUACGUACGUUUGCGAUAUUGAAUACUAGGUGCGGCCAUUC
rnacentral:misc_RNA from 1 species